rnacentral:rRNA from 1 species
UAUAACCGGCGAUUUCCGAAUGGGGAAACCCAGUGUGAUUCGUCACACUAUCAUUAACUGAAUCCAUAGGUUAAUGAGGCGAACCGGGGGAACUGAAACAUCUAAGUACCCCGAGGAAAAGAAAUCAACCGAGAUUCCCCCAGUAGCGGCGAGCGAACGGGGAGCAGCCCAGAGCCUGAAUCAGUGUGUGUGUUAGUGGAAGCGUCUGGAAAGGCGCGCGAUACAGGGUGAC